AUAGAGUGAUAAAAUAUAUUGAAAACAAUUCAUUUCGUCUUCUCCAAGUGCAGCGGAAAUUGAUUGAGGAAACAAUGAAACACCCAAGUCGCAUAAUGCUGGGCAGCACAGAUGAACUACAACUUUUGCAAAAUUUAGUUUCUCUAAUAAAAGGAAGGAAAACAUUGGACAUUGGAGUGUUCACAGGUUAUAGUGCAUUGGCUAUAGCACUAGUACUUCCUGAAGAUGGGAGGGUAGUGGCCUGUGAUGUCAGUG